CACCAGGUUGCCUAAGGAGGGGUGAACCGG
rnacentral:piRNA from 2 species